rnacentral:rRNA from 1 species
UACGGGGGGGAGCAAGCGUUGUUCGGAUUUAUUGGGCGUAAAGAGCGUGUAGGCGGCCAUACAGGUCCGUUGUGAAAACUCGAGGCUCAACCUCGAGACGUCGAUGGAAACCGUAUGGCUAGAGUCCGGAAGAGGAGAGUGGAAUUCCUGGUGUAGCGGUGAAAUGCGCAGAUAUCAGGAAGAACACCCGUGGCGAAGGCGGCUCUCUGGGACGGUACUGACGCUGAGACGCGAAAAGCGUGGGGGAGCGAACAGG